rnacentral:rRNA from 1 species
AACAACGCUGGCGGCGUGCCUAACACAUGCAAGUCGUACGAGAAAGUCGGCUUCGGCCGAUGAGUACAGUGGCGUCACGGGUGAGUAGCGCGUGGGUAAUCUGCCCCCCCGGUCAGGAACUAACCCGCCGAAAGGCGGGCUAAUACCCGAUAACACUGACGCUCCGCGGAGCGUCUUUCAAAGAAGGCCUCUGUUUACAAGCUUUCGCCGGAGGAUGAGCCCGCGUACCAUUAGCUAGUUGGCAGGGUAAUGGCCUACCAAGGCUACGAUGGUUAGCUGGUCUGAGAGGAUGGCCAGCCACACUGGAACUGAGACACGGUCCAGACUCCUACGGGAGGCAGCAGUGAGGAAUCUUGCGCAAUGGGGGAAACCCUGACGCAGCAACGCCGCGUGAGUGAGGAAGGCCUUCGGGUCGUAAAGCUCUGUCAGAUGGGAAGAAAUGGAUGGGGGCUAAUAUCGCCCAUCCUUGACGGUACCAUCAGAGGAAGCACCGGCUAACUCCGUG